rnacentral:rRNA from 1 species
UACGUAGGGGGCAAGCGUUGUCCGGAUUUAUUGGGCGUAAAGAGCUCGUAGGCGGUUUGUCGCGUCUGCUGUGAAAACCUAAGGCUCAACCUUGGGCUUGCAGUGGGUACGGGCAGACUAGAGUGCGGUAGGGGUGACUGGAAUUCCUGGUGUAGCGGUGGAAUGCGCAGAUAUCAGGAGGAACACCGAUGGCGAAGGCAGGUCACUGGGCCGCAACUGACGCUGGAGGAGCGAAAGCAUGGGGAGCGAACGGG